GACGUAGGGGGCGAGCGUUGUCCGGAAUUAUUGGGCGUAAAGAGCUCGUAGGCGGUCUGUCGCGUCGGCUGUGAAAACACGGGGCUCAACUCCGUGCCUGCAGUCGAUACGGGCAGACUAGAGUUCGGUAGGGGAGACUGGAAUUCCUGGUGUAGCGGUGAAAUGCGCAGAUAUCAGGAGGAACACCGGUGGCGAAGGCGGGUCUCUGGGCCGAUACUGACGCUGAGGAGCGAAAGCGUGGGGAGCGAACAGG
rnacentral:rRNA from 1 species